rnacentral:rRNA from 1 species
AGUAACACGUGGGUAACCUACCUUAUAGUGGGGGAUAGCCUUUCGAAAGGAAGAUUAAUACCGCAUAAGAUUGUAGUAUCGCAUGAUAUAGCAAUUAAAGGAGCAAUCCGCUAUAAGAUGGACCCGCGUCGCAUUAGCUAGUUGGUGAGGUAAUGGCUCACCAAGGCGACGAUGCGUAGCCGACCUGAGAGGGUGAUCGGCCACAUUGGGACUGAGACACGGCCCAGACUCCUACGGGAGGCAGCAUG